UAGGGAAUCUUCGGCAAUGGACGAAAGUCUGACCGAGCAACGCCGCGUGAGUGAAGAAGGUUUUCGGAUCGUAAAACUCUGUUGUUAGAGAAGAACAAGGACGUUAGUAACUGAACGUCCCCUGACGGUAUCUAACCAGAAAGCCACGGCUAACUACGUGCCAGCAGCCGCGGUAAUACGUAGGUGGCAAGCGUUGUCCGGAUUUAUUGGGCGUAAAGCGAGCGCAGGCGGUUUCUUAAGUCUGAUGUGAAAGCCCCCGGCUCAACCGGGGAGGGUCAUUGGAAACUGGGAGACUUGAGUGCAGAAGAGGAGAGUGGAAUUCCAUGUGAGCGGUGAAAUGCGUAGAUAUAUGGAGGAACACCAGUGGCGAAGGCGGCUCUCUGGUCUGUAACUGACGCUGAGGCUCGAAAGCGUGGGGAGCAAACAGG
rnacentral:rRNA from 1 species